rnacentral:lncRNA from 1 species
GACAUUUAGGUAACUCUGAUAAUUAGUCAAUUGGUGUUAGAUGACAAAAUAUCAAUUGGGAUAUUUUGUAUCGUUGUAUAAUAUAAUAUUAUAUACAUAUAUUGUAUAUAUAUGUAGAUGUGGAGAAAGAAAAAGAUAGGAAGAAAGAAGAAAGUUGGUAAGAAAAGAGAAAGAAGAGAAAAAAGAAGAGAAGAAGAGAGGAUGUGAG